CCUACGGGAGGCAGCAGUGGGGAAUAUUGCACAAUGGGCGAAAGCCUGAUGCAGCAACGCCGCGUGAAGGAAGACGGUUUUCGGAUUUUAAACUUCUGUUCUUAGUGAAGUAUAAUGACGGUAACUAAGGAUCAAGCCACGGCUAACUACGUGCCAGCAGCCGCGGUAAUACGUAGGUUGCAAUCGUUGUCCGGAAUUACUGGGUGUAAAGGGAGCGUAGGCGGGAGGCCAAGUCAGCUGUGAAAGCUACGGGCUUAACCUGUAGACUGCAGUUGAAACUGGCUGUCUUGAGUGAAGUAGAGGUUGGCGGAAUUCCGGGUGUAGCGGUGAAAUGCGUAGAUAUUAGGAGGAACACCGAUGGCGAAGGCGGCUAACUGGGCUUUAACUGACGCUGAGGCUCGAAAGUGUGGGGAGCAAACAGGAUUAGAUACCCGAGUAGUC
rnacentral:rRNA from 1 species